rnacentral:SRP_RNA from 1 species
GCCGGUGUGGUGGUGCGUGCCUGUAGUCCCAGCUACUUCGGAGGCUGAGGUGGGAGGAUCGCUUGAGCCCAGGAGUUCUGGGCUGUAGUGCGCUAUGCUGGUUGGGUGUCUGCACUAAGUUCGGCAUCAAUAUGGUGACCUCUCAGGAGCAGGGGACCACCAGGCCUAAGGAGAGGUGAACAGGCCCAGGUAGGAAAUGGAGCAGGUCAAAACUCCUGUGCUGAUCAUUAAUGGGAUCGUGCCUGUGAAUAGCCACUGCACUCCAGCCCGGGCAACAUAGCGAGACCCAGUCUCU